UCAGCUUCCUAAAGUGCUGGCAUUACAGGCGUGAGCCACCGUGCCCGGCCUCUGUUUUUGAACUUUAUACAAAUAGAAUCUCAUGGAAUAUAGUAUUUGUGUCUAGCGUCUUUCGUUCAACAUUGUGUUUAUGAGAUUUGUUCAUGUUGUUACAUGUUGUAUAUCUGCUUAUGGUUUUAAUUUGCAUUUCCCUGAUUAGUGAUGCUGAGGACCUUUUCCUGUGGUUAUUGGCACAUGAUUAGAACCAAAGAAGGCCUCUCUGUGGAAGUGACAUUUGAUCAGACUCUUAAAAUUCAGGUAGGAUUCUCAUUGGUAGAGAUAGGAGGUAAAAGGUUUUACAAAAAGGUGAAUGACAUGCAUGUAAAUAGGAAAAUAGGGAGCUAUAGGGAAUAAUCAACAAUUGUAAGUAGUUUAGUGUGGGUAAAAUCAUCUUACAUGUGAAUUUUUAAAAUCUUGCCUCCUGUACCCUUCAUUCUCCCAUUCUACUUCCCAGUCACAGCAUUUAAUGGCAUUGAAUUCACAGAGUACAAAUUUUUAUUUACUGUGGUAAAUUAGAAGGAGCUUGAGUAGUCUUGAAUAAUGAUCACAGAAACUUUGUCUUGACUUGGUAGAAAUUGGAAGGAAGUGUUCUGUUUCAACCCCAACAGGUGUAGUGCAAUUCAAGUCUGGCAUUAACCACCUGGAGUCAGUGCAUACCCCACAAUUCACAGUGUCCAACAGUACUGCCUUUACUUCAGACUUCAGCCUCACUUUGAGUAUCCCCAGAUCACCUGCACUUCUGUCAACUGGCUACAAAUCCAGGGUUUUCCAUGACCCCGUAAGGUUCAAGAAUAUGCUAGAACAACUCACAGAAUUCAGGAGAGUGUUAUACUUACGAUUACAGUUUUAUUAUAAAGGGUACCAAUCAGGAAGGAAGUAUUCUGUUUCAACCUUAACUAGUCUACUGCAACUCAAUUCUGGCACUAACCACUCAGAGUUAGUACAGACCUUACAAGUUAAAAGACACUGUCUUCAAAUAAUAACUGAGAAAUUAAGGUAGUAUGGAAUAGGAUGUGAAUUUAUAGACUGUAUUUUACUGAAAAUUGUAGAUUUGUAUUUUACUGAAUUUUGUAGGUAGAAUAAAGAUAAUAGAUAGCAACCCACUAUCAUUGUAUGAGGAUAGGUGGAUCAGAGCCAGAUUGUUGAAAAAUUUGAAAGCCAGAAAAAAAGUGUUUGAAUUAUAUUGAUGGGCUUGUGGAAGAAUUUUGAAUACAUGAGUAUUAUGAUUAAAAUGUUUGUUGGAAGAUUAGAUUGGCUAUACAGAAAUGUUUGGCUACUUUUUGAGGGAGGGAUAAUGAGAGCCUAGGUUAAAUUGGUAAGAGUCUGAAAUACAGAAGAAUAACUGCAUAAGAGUGUGUGACAGGCAUGUAAGUAAAACUCAGCGACCGAUUUGUCUGUCUGUUGAUCUGUUUACUUUUGAGCGCUUGUGAAAGAAGAAGGGUAGUAUCAGAGACUGAAGAGGAAAAACAGAUUUAAUAACUGAUAAAGCAAGAGG